CUCAAGGCGAACAUAAAAAAAGAAAGUUACUGCCACCAACUGCAUCCUCCCAGUAAAAAAAUAUUGGAUACUUAAAUUUAUGAAAUCAAAGAUAGCUUGUAAAGCAUUGCAAAUUCUGACCGUCUAAUGAAUCCUGCAUCCAUAUAAAAGAUCUAAUGCAAAGAAGAAAUAUUUGUAUUAGCAACUGAAUGAACUUCCUG
rnacentral:lncRNA from 1 species